AUGAACGCUAGCGACAGGCUUAACACAUGCAAGUCGAGGGGCAGCACAGGUAGCAAUACCGGGUGGCGACCGGCGCACGGGUGAGUAACGCGUAUGCAACUUGCCUAUCAGAGGGGGAUAACCCGGCGAAAGUCGGACUAAUACCGCAUGAAGCAGGGAUCCCGCAUGGGAAUAUUUGCUAAAGAUUCAUCGCUGAUAGAUAGGCAUGCGUUCCAUUAGGCAGUUGGCGGGGUAACGGCCCACCAAACCGACGAUGGAUAGGGGUUCUGAGAGGAAGGUCCCCCACAUUGGUACUGAGACACGGACCAAACUCCUACGGGAGGCAGCAGUGAGGAAUAUUGGUCAAUGGCCGAGAGGCUGAACCAGCCAAGUCGCGUGAGGGAUGAAGGUUCUAUGGAUCGUAAACCUCUUUUAUAAGGGAAUAAAGUGCGGGACGUGUCCCGUUUUGUAUGUACCUUAUGAAUAAGGAUCGGCUAACUCCGUGCCAGCAGCCGCGGUAAUACGGAGGAUCCGAGCGUUAUCCGGAUUUAUUGGGUUUAAAGGGUGCGUAGGCGGCCUUUUAAGUCAGCGGUGAAAGUCUGUGGCUCAACCAUAGAAUUGCCGUUGAAACUGGGGGGCUUGAGUAUGUUUGAGGCAGGCGGAAUGCGUGGUGUAGCGGUGAAAUGCAUAGAUAUCACGCAGAACCCCGAUUGCGAAGGCAGCCUGCCAAGCCAUGACUGACGCUGAUGCACGAAAGCGUGGGGAUCAAACAGGAUUAGAUACCCUGGUAGUCCACGCAGUAAACGAUGAUCACUAGCUGUUUGCGAUACACUGUAAGCGGCACAGCGAAAGCGUUAAGUGAUCCACCUGGGGAGUACGCCGGCAACGGUGAAACUCAAAGGAAUUGACGGGGGCCCGCACAAGCGGAGGAACAUGUGGUUUAAUUCGAUGAUACGCGAGGAACCUUACCCGGGUUUGAACGCAUUCGGACCGAGGUGGAAACACCUUUUCUAGCAAUAGCCGUUUGCGAGGUGCUGCAUGGUUGUCGUCAGCUCGUGCCGUGAGGUGUCGGCUUAAGUGCCAUAACGAGCGCAACCCUUGCCACUAGUUACUAACAGGUAAAGCUGAGGACUCUGGUGGGACUGCCAGCGUAAGCUGCGAGGAAGGCGGGGAUGACGUCAAAUCAGCACGGCCCUUACAUCCGGGGCGACACACGUGUUACAAUGGCGUGGACAAAGGGAAGCCACCUGGCGACAGGGAGCGAAUCCCCAAACCACGUCUCAGUUCGGAUCGGAGUCUGCAACCCGACUCCGUGAAGCUGGAUUCGCUAGUAAUCGCGCAUCAGCCAUGGCGCGGUGAAUACGUUCCCGGGCCUUGUACACACCGCCCGUCAAGCCAUGGGAGCCGGGGGUACCUGAAGUCCGUAACCGCGAGGAUCGGCCUAGGGUAAAACUGGUGACUGGGGCU
rnacentral:rRNA from 1 species